AACGAACGCUGGCGGCAGGCUUAACACAUGCAAGUCGAACGGGCACCUUCGGGUGUCAGUGGCAGACGGGUGAGUAACGCGUGGGAACGUACCCUUCGGUUCGGAAUAACCCAGGGAAACUUGGGCUAACACCGGAUACGUCCGCAAGGAGAAAGAUUUAUCGCCGAAGGAUCGGCCCGCGUCGGAUUAGCUAGUUGGUGGGUAAUGGCCCACCAAGGCGACGAUCCGUAGCUGGUCUGAGAGGAUGANCAGCCACACUGGGACUGAGACACGGCCCAGACUCCUACGGGAGGCAGCAGUGGGGAAUAUUGGACAAUGGGCGAAAGCCUGAUCCAGCCAUGCCGCGUGAGUGAAGAAGGCCUUAGGGUUGUAAAGCUCUUUC
rnacentral:rRNA from 1 species